CUGCUGCCUUCCGUAGGAGUUUGGGCCGUGUCUCAGUCCCAAUGUGGCCGUCCACCCUCUCAGGCCGGCUACUGAUCGUCGCCUUGGUGGGCCGUUACCCCGCCAACAAGCUAUCAGACGCGGGUCCAUCUUACACCACCGGAGUUUUUCACACAAAUCCAUGCGGCUUCGUGCGCUUAUGCGGUAUUAGCACCUAUUUCUAAGUGUUAUCCCCCAGUGUAAGGCAGGUUACCCACGCGUUACUCACCCGUCCGCCACUAAG
rnacentral:rRNA from 1 species